AGAGUUUGAUCCUGGCUCAGGAUGAACGCUGGCGGUAUGCCUUAUACAUGCAAGUCGUACGGGAGUUUUUAACUCAAGUGGCGGACGGGUGAGUAACACGUGAGAAUUUGCCUUUAGGAGGGGGAUAACAACUGGAAACGGUUGCUAAUACCCCAUAUGCUUUCGAGUGAAAAGAAUUUAUUCGCCUAAAGAGAAGCUCGCGGCUGAUUAGCUUGUUGGUGAGGUAAUGGCUCACCAAGGCGACGAUCAGUAUCUGGUUUGAGAGGAUGAUCAGACACACUGGAACUGAGACACGGUCCAGACUCCUACGGGAGGCAGCAGUAGGGAAUUUUCCGCAAUGGGCGAAAGCCUGACGGAGCAAUACCGCGUGAGGGAGGAAUGCCUUUGGGUUGUAAACCUCUUUUCUCAGGGAAGAAGAUCUGACGGUACCUGAGGAAUAAGUAUCGGCUAACUCCGUGCCAGCAGCCGCGGUAAUACGGAGGAUGCAAGCGUUAUCCGGAAUCAUUGGGCGUAAAGCGUCCGCAGGUGGUUUUCAAAGUCUGCUGUUAAAGACUGGAGCUCAACUCCGGAACGGCGGUGGAAACUUGGAAACUAGAGUUCGGUAGGGGUAGCAGGAAUUCCCAGUGUAGCGGUGAAAUGCGUAGAUAUUGGGAAGAACAUCGGUGGCGAAGGCGUGCUACUGGACCGCAACUGACACUCAGGGACGAAAGCUAGGGGAGCGAAAGGGAUUAGAUACCCCUGUAGUCCUAGCUGUAAACGAUGGAAACUAGGUGUGGCUUGUAUCGACCCGAGCCGUGCCGUAGCUAACGCGUUAAGUUUCCCGCCUGGGGAGUACGCACGCAAGUGUGAAACUCAAAGGAAUUGACGGGGGCCCGCACAAGCGGUGGAGUAUGUGGUUUAAUUCGAUGCAACGCGAAGAACCUUACCAGGGCUUGACAUGUCGCGAAUCUUGGUGAAAGCUGAGAGUGCCUUCGGGAGCGCGAACACAGGUGGUGCAUGGCUGUCGUCAGCUCGUGUCGUGAGAUGUUGGGUUAAGUCCCGCAACGAGCGCAACCCUCAUUCUUAGUUGCCAGCAUUGAGGUGGGCACUUUAGGAAGACUGCCGGUGACAAACCGGAGGAAGGUGAGGAUGACGUCAAGUCAGCAUGCCCCUUACGCCCUGGGCUACACACGUACUACAAUGGUUGGGACAAAGGGCAGCGACGCCGCGAGGAAGAGCGAAUCUCAUCAAACCCAGCCUCAGUUCAGAUUGCAGGCUGCAACUCGCCUGCAUGAAGGAGGAAUCGCUAGUAAUCGCAGGUCAGCAUACUGCGGUGAAUUCGUUCCCGGGCCUUGUACACACCGCCCGUCACACCAUGGAAGCUGGUCACGCCCGAAGUAGUUACCCUAACCUUUCGAGGAGGGGGAUUCCUAAGGCAGGGCUAGUGACUGGGGUGAAGUCGUAACAAGGUAACC
rnacentral:rRNA from 1 species